rnacentral:rRNA from 1 species
AGAGUUUGAUCCUGGCUCAGAUUGAACGCUGGCGGCAUGCCUUACACAUGCAAGUCGAACGGUAACAGGCCGCAAGGUGCUGACGAGUGGCGAACGGGUGAGUAACACAUCGGAACGUGCCUGAUAGUGGGGGAUAACUACUCGAAAGAGUGGCUAAUACCGCAUAAGAUCUCAGGAUGAAAGCAGGGGACCGCAAGGCCUUGCGCUAACAGAGCGGCCGAUGGCAGAUUAGGUAGUUGGUGGGAUAAAAGCUUACCAAGCCGACGAUCUGUAGCUGGUCUGAGAGGAUGACCAGCCACACUGGGACUGAGACACGGCCCAGACUCCUACGGGAGGCAGCAGUGGGGAAUUUUGGACAAUGGGCGCAAGCCUGAUCCAGCAAUGCCGCGUGCAGGAUGAAGGCCUUCGGGUUGUAAACUGCUUUUGUACGGAACGAAAAGCUUCUCUCUAAUACAGGGGGGUCAUGACGGUACCGUAAGAAUAAGCACCGGCUAACUACGUGCCAGCAGCCGCGGUAAUACGUAGGGUGCAAGCGUUAAUCGGAAUUACUGGGCGUAAAGCGUGCGCAGGCGGUGAUGUAAGACAGAGGUGAAAUCCCCGGGCUCAACCUGGGAACUGCCUUUGUGACUGCAUUGCUGGAGUGCGGCAGAGGGGGAUGGAAUUCCGCGUGUAGCAGUGAAAUGCGUAGAUAUGCGGAGGAACACCGAUGGCGAA